CUGGAAUGUUAUAGGAGUAAUAUAGUGCCGUUGUAACGUUAGUUGUUCUUCAUGGUGCUUUCCCUGGCACUUGGCUAGACUGCGGAGCCUGAAGAAACAUCUCUCUGCCACUGUUCUUCUGAUGCAGAUUUAGAGACAACAUGUACCCCCUUGCCAUGAAGACCCUAUUUUCUCUUGAUAUCUGAAGAUGUGCAGCAGACAGAAUUAAGUCUCAGGAUAAAGAUGCCAAAAGGUUGUUCUUACAUAUCAACACCUGGGGACUGCUUCUACUGUGUUCAAUAUUCAGAAGCAAUGCAAAGAGAGAGCUGGCCCCUACUUCAGUAAUACUUUAUUCUGGAACUGUUUACUUGACAACAUUAAGAAUUGUAUUAACAUCUCUAAACAGUAUAACAACAACACACUGCCUUGACUAUUUACAUCAUAGACCCCCAUGCCUGUUAGUUGAUUCUAAUGAU
ensembl:lncRNA